rnacentral:rRNA from 1 species
ACGCUCGACACCUACGGGGGGCAGCAGUGGGGGAUAUUGCACAAUGGGGGAAACCCUGAUGCAGCGACGCCGCGUGAAGGAAGAAGGCCUUCGGGUUGUAACUUCCGUCGUACGGGACGAUAAUGACGGUACCGUACAAGAAAGCCACGGCUAACUACGUGCUAGCAGCCGCGGUAAUCUGAGCGGGCUGGCAAGGC